rnacentral:lncRNA from 1 species
GCAGAUAUUUGGGAACCCGCUUUUGCUAGUACUUCAAUCAGCACUGCUGUGAGAGUAUUAUCGUCCAACAGCAUCUGAACUUCCUUUUCUGAACCCCUUAAAAGAAAGGGGAAAGCACUGAUGACAGCCUGCAUCCAUAAUUUUAGUUACUUUUUGUCAGAAUGCAAAGUAAUUUGUGGUCUACCCAACUUAUUCGUAAGAAAAGAAAACCAUAUUUAGUAGUGGCAGAGGACAUUUUGUACAUAAUAUAGGAGGUCCGAUCAAAAUCUCAAUAAUAAUAAACCCGAACAGGUGGACCUAGCUAAUGUGGGGAUAAAUAUAUGACCACGUUCACUGUAUCAACCUCCAUAUAAGCAAUAUUUAGAUAUAACAUUGCGAAAUUGCGAUACAUCAAUGACCGACCUUAUUGGCCAAAUGGUAAAUGUCCACAAGCGGGAAAAUAUACUUCAACUUUAUUUCACCUCAUCACGUUUAUCAAAUGCACCCCGACAGUAAGUACAUCUAAAUUGGACGUUUAAGGUAACUCUUUUUUUUAACUCUCGUCUAAGAUAACUUCUUUCUGCAUUCUAUAGAAAAUUGAUCUCAUUGAUAGAAUUAGAAAUUACCAUAAGGAGUUUAGCAGAAGCCUCCUUUUGUUUGCUUUCAUGCACGUUGCUGGAAAUAUUAAGCAAGAUACAGCGUAUGAUCUCCGAGUUGAAUAUGGUAAAAGAACACUUAGAAGAAAGUAAUUGUAGAAAAUCAUGU